UACAGAGGUCUCAAGCGUUGUUCGGAUUCAUUGGGCGUAAAGGGUGCGUAGGUGGCGCUGUAAGUCGGGUGUGAAAUUUCGGAGCUUAACUCCGAAACUGCAUUCGAUACUGCGGUGCUUGAGGACUGGAGAGGAGACUGGAAUUCAUGGUGUAGCAGUGAAAUGCGUAGAGAUCAUGAGGAAGACCAGUGGCGAAGGCGGUUCUCUGGGACGGUACUGACGCUGAGACGCGAAAGCGUGGGGAGCGAACAGG
rnacentral:rRNA from 1 species